rnacentral:rRNA from 1 species
UACGUAGGGUGCAAGCGUUAAUCGGAAUUACUGGGCGUAAAGCGCGCGUAGGUGGUUCAGUAAGUUGGAAGUGAAAUCCCCGGGCUCAACCUGGGAACUGCUUUCAAAACUGCUGAGCUAGAGUACGGUAGAGGGUAGUGGAAUUUCCUGUGUAGCGGUGAAAUGCGUAGAUAUAGGAAGGAACACCAGUGGCGAAGGCGACCACCUGGGCUCAUACUGACACUGAGGUGCGAAAGCGUGGGGAGCAAACAGG